rnacentral:rRNA from 1 species
CCCGCCGGCGACCGGCGCACGGGUGAGUAACACGUAUGCAACCUGGCCGCCACAGGGGGAUAACCCGCGGAAACGCGGCCUAAUACCCCGUGACGCCACCGGAGGGCAUCCUCCGGUGGCCAAAGGAGCGAUCCGGUGGCGGAUGGGCAUGCGGCGCAUUAGCUAGACGGCGGGGUGACGGCCACCGUGGCGACGAUGCGUAGGGGUUCUGAGAGGAAGGCCCCCCACACUGGGACUGAGACACGGCCCAGACUCCUACGGAAGGCAGCAG